rfam:Absidia glauca strain CBS 101.48 genome assembly, contig: contig_9
GAAUAGAUGACCGAAUCGGUAAGGAAGUAGUUUGCUAAACUAUGGAUGUAAUAAUCCUUGUGGGUUCAAGUCCCACUCUAUUCA